UGGUGGAGUGAUUUGUCUGGUUAAUUCCGUUAACGAACGAGACCUCAGCCUGCUAACUAGUUACACGAAGGAUCUCCUUCGUGGCCAACUUCUUAGAGGGACUAUGGCCGUCUAGGCCAUGGAAGUUUGAGGCAAUAACA
rnacentral:rRNA from 1 species